UACACCCACAGGACAAAUUAAAACACUGUGUUGUUUUUCCACUGAAGCUGGAAUUCCUUCACCACAAAUUCUGUUGGAUUUUGUGUGUUCUGGCAUGAAUAUUGGAGUGCCCAACCACUUAUCUGCGCUGGGUUUGCAGCUCCCUGCCUGCCACCAGUGCUGACUUCUGUCUUGCGUCGCAGCUUUGCUUUGCUGCCCUUCUCACAAAUGCCAGGAGCUGAUCUGUGGAGCGGCUGGGAUUUCUCCAUCACAAAUAUUGCCUGUUCAGAAGGAAGAGAGCCACUCCUGAGUUGUGAUCUUGAGAUUUUCUCAUCAUUGUGUGCCAAAAUGGAGGUCACUCCAGAGUAAAAUCUGCCCAAAUGUGAGCCGUUCAACCCCUCCUGUCCUGGUGAGCAUUUCAGCAUCCUUUGGGUCUCUCACUGGUAGACAGCAGCUGUAGACCUGCAGGUGCCACGUGCUGCCAUCCAUGGGCGGCGGUGACGUUUGGCGCAGGUUUCGCAUCGCUGCACAAUUUGAUGUCAUCGUCAGAUCUGCCCUGUGCUGGGAAAUGGGACCCGUCAGUGCCGGGUAAGGAAACUCACGCUGUCUCUACCCACAUCAUCUCUGUGUACUUCAACCAGGAAAAGGGAUAUAAAUAUAGAUGAUGAUUUAGACUUUAAAAUGCUGAGGAUGGUGACGAUGAUGCAGCCGAGAGUUCCUGUGUGAGGUAGGAUUGAAAAUGUGACUUAAAAGCUAAUUUCUACUUCUAGCACAGGAGAACAGGCAGCAGCUCCAUCCCUUUAGCUGUGACAGUGACAUGCCUGGCUCUGAUGACACAGAAGCUCUCUGAAGUUGUGCAGACACCUGGACCUGAGUGCCCAUCACUGCUUGCCCUUAAAUCCUCCAUCAGGCUGGAUGUGGCUCUGGGCAGCCUGUUCUGAUGGUUGGCGACCCUGCCCAUGGCAGGGGGGUUGAAACCAGACUGCAUCCAGUUGCAUCCCCACAUGCAAGGGACGCAGCAAUGGUGUGAGCCCAGCAGUAACCAAUGAAGGAACAAAACCCGCUUUCUACACUCUGUUUUUCCUCCAUCUUUGUGCUUUGCUGGGUUUUUCUGUUAUCACAGAGUCUGAAACAUAUUUGUAGUCUGUGAGUGCCAUUAAUUUCCAUUUUGUACUUUGCUAUGAUCUCAAAGCAAACCACCCCAGCCCUUCAACUUUUUGAUGCUCUUGAAAGACAGGGAAGCUUUGAGCUUGGAGCACAGUUUCCCAGCUGCAUUCCUCAAACAAG
ensembl:lncRNA